rnacentral:tRNA from 1 species
CAGUAAAUAGUUUAUUUAAAAUACUAAUUUUGGGGAUUAGGGAAGGGUACUAUUAUCUUUUACUGA